UUCUGGUUUUGUAGAUAGUGCAGCAAAUUUGUUCACGUCAUUUUGUUUUCCUGAGGAAGAUUUGCCCUGAGCUAGCAUCUGUGCCAGUCUCCCUCUAUUUUGUAUGUGAGUUGCUGCCCCGGCAUGGCCGUUGAUGAGUGGUGUAGGUCUGCACCUGGGAACCAAACCCCGGCCACCGAAGUGGAGCAAGCCAAACUUAACCCCUAGGCCACGGAGCCGGCCCCUCGUUUUGAAUAUUUUGCUGGUAAUACACUCACGUGUUCAAAAUUCAAAGCCUUAAAAAUAAACAACCUUUCCUGUUCAAUAUGUAAACAAACAACCUCAUGCUCCCGACAGAAAAGCAGCAAGGACAUGAAAAGGCAAUUUGUGGAAAAAAAUGUGUUAAGAAUGUCACCCUUAGUGUUAUAAAAACUCUUCCACUGAGACCUGCUUGCCUGUCAUUUUGAGAUGUUUUUGAUGCACAGAAGUUUCAACUUUACUAAGCCGUAUUUUUCCCUGAAUGAUCUCUUCGCUGCCUGGAAAGCCAUUGCCCAUCCUGAGGUCAGUUAAACAGUCUUCUUCUUCAGUGGUUUUCGUGGCUUCAUGGUUUGCUCUCUAAUGUGCCUCAGAGAUGUUUCUAUUGGUGAUGUGAUUCCCAGACGGAGCCGAGGACUGGUGUAGCUACCUGAGGGUGCAGCUCUGGGAUGCCACUUGGCCUCAGUCCCCAGCCCCUGCUCUGAACCAUCUGGCAGUUAUUCAUGGCAGGACAAGCAGGCCAAGGGGCACCAGCCUCUGGAAGUGGACCAUCCUUCUGGAGAAGAGGGCCUGGAGACCCACCCUGAGACACCCAUGGUCUUGCACACGGGCUCCAUCACAGAUCUUCACACAUAAGUGAAGAAACUGUCUACAUACAAGUGGAUGCACUUCCACAGUCAUAAGACACGUCACAAGGCAUGGAGUCCCCACCACAUUCGUGCUGAAUCACACCUUCAGACUAACUGGCAUAAUGCGAUCGUGUUUGUUCUCAGUGAGUGCGCUUUCAAAUGGCUCCAGUCCUACGCCUGUUGUAGUGGAUGUUGGGUUCACAGCCCCUGCUCUUUUGGGUGGCUUAGCAUGGUUUUGAGGAGGAGGCUAGACUUGUCUUCACCUCCAGAAGCUAAAUCGAGUUUGGCCUUGUCUGAGAUCUCAGGAUCCCUGGCCUCUUCCCACUCCCUUGUCCUUUGUGAGUGCAGGAUACUGCCCAGUAGUCGUGGUCUUAACUUGUUGGUGCUUGCCUAAGCCUGGUUUUGUUCCUCACCUCCAUCCCAGGACUAGGAGUCCCCCACCUAGAGGCUUUGAGGUGGACCCAAAUGGGAAGUCUUCUGGGCUUCCUGGGGCCUGGGGGAGAGGUCUCUGCACAAAGGGCAGGGCAAGGGGGCUCAACCAAGCUGGAGGGGCUUCCUAGAUGGCCCACCAUGGCCCCUGACUGUGUGGACAUUGCGCUGGAUGUGGGCUUUAAUCAGGGCCAGGCUUGGGUGAAUGGCAAGGAAUCAUGGUCUCAGAAUGGUAGAGCGAGCUGGGGCCUUUGAGACCAUCUAGUGCAGCCCCUCGUUUUAUAGGCUAGAAAGCUGAGUCUCUGAGAUGGGAAGGGCUGUGCCUGAGGUCACUCUGCGAAUCUUCAACCUCAAGUCUGAACUCUGAGUCCAACGUUCAGUGUGUUGGCUCCGUGGGGGAGACAAAGGCUUCCUAAGUGCACAGGUUAUGGAAAUUCAGGACAUACCAGACACACAGGCAUCCAAGGUCACAGUUCCUUGCCCUGGGUGGCUGACUAAAAUUUUAAUCCAGACUCACGGAGAUCUUUUUAAAAGGACUUUAGCUGUUGCAUGUGUGUGACACAGGAGACACCUUUGCUCCUGACCAAGGCCCAUCCUCUGAGCCACAUGAAGACUUCUGGCCUGAAAAGAUCUGAAGACUCCUCCUUAAUGUGUUUGCAUUUAACUGAGAAACAGACCUCGCAUGAGUCUGCAUUUUGCCCCAUCUUUCUCCUGGUCCGUUCUCUCUACUGGCAGACAUUAGCAUUGGCACUUCCUACGUGCCAGGCUCUGUUCUGAGCACUUUGAGUUACUCAUUUAAUCCUCCCAACAGUCCAAUGGGACAGGCACCAUCGUCAUCAUCAUCACCAUCAUCACCCCCACUUUUUUGAUUAGGAAAUUGAGGUACAAAGGGAUCAGGCAACUUGUCUGAGGCCCCCAGGUUAGAAAGGGGCAGAGUGAGGAUUCAAAUCCAGGCAAUGCACCCUCCACGCCGGAGCUCUGAGCAUAAGGGUCAGCCAUCAUCCCAGUCUGUUCCCCUAGAAAGUUCUGAGAGUCUCAGCCACGGUGACCAGUACGGAGAGAGCCCAGGCAGGCAGAGAGUUGCACAUGGGCCCCAGACAUGUCCCAUCUCAGGAUCCAGAUCAUCUGCCUGCACAGCCUUGCAGAAUUGAGACAUCCAUGUGAUCCUGGCCACACACACAUCCCAGCUUUCCUGGUCUUCGGGGAGCUGCCAUCUCCUCAACUCAACCUCCCCAUCCUCCUUUCUCUUCUGCCCACUCUACACUUUUGACGGAAGUGUGAACAGAUCCUUUUCACCUCAACUUUGCAAAGAAAAGAUUAGGACUUUUCAUAAAUAAUACUUAGAAGAAACUAUGGGGAAAGGAAGCACAUUUGAAACUGUAGAAAUGGAUAAAUGUGGAAAGCAUAGAUCUCAGAUACUCAUCAGUAGCAAACUCUGAUUCUGGUUGACUGUGGACCCUUCCCAGCCUCGCACUAAGCCCUGGGCCGGACCUGGGGCCUCAGAAGGAUGUGAUGCUCUCCAGCAUGAGGCAGGUAUUAGGAUGCCUCUGGGGAUGAGUCUAGCUCUGCUGUGAUCUCUCUCCUGGUCCUAGGCCAGACCAUUUGGAUUUGGCCAAUGGAGCAGUGAUUGGCUCUGCCCAUGGGGAAGGUGGGCUUUUCAGCAUCCCACCCCACUUCUGAAUUCCUCUCUGGUCUUGUCUGGUGUUGUCCCUCAGGCGUUCCUUCUGGCCCUGAUGAGUCUCCAACUUCUCUUCCAGCCACUGCAGGGCUGCCUUGGGCAGGCACCUAUUUUAUCAGUUCUAGUGAAAUCCACUCCCGGGGAGGGUAUGAAUGGAGGCCCACAGACCAUAUGUCUAAUAUUUAAAAGUUAUAAGUCAAGUUAACAAAAUGUUAAAGUAUGUUCUAUUCUUCAACCCCGACAAGUUUACCUUCAAAAUAAUAAAGGUGAAAAUACAUAUAAAGUUAUGAUUUUUAUAUGACUGAAGUUCUGCAAAAUAGUGAAGGCAACUGAAUUGACUCUUACUGAGGACAUCAGGGGUUCUGCUGAGGGGCCAGUGAUGUUUAAAUGAAUAAUAAAAUUAAGACAUUUAUAAUUCAUGUUAGCAUAUACUUAUUCUUUAAAACUUAUUUCCUUGCUUUAUGUUCAGCAAAAUUAGUAAUUGUGCUUUUAUAAUAGAGAAC
ensembl:lncRNA